AGAGUUUGAUCCUGGCUCAGGAUGAACGCUGGCGGCGUGCUUAACACAUGCAAGUCGAACGAAGCACUUUAUUUGAUUUCCUUCGGGACUGAUUAUUUUGUGACUGAGUGGCGGACGGGUGAGUAACGCGUGGGUAACCUGCCUUGUACAGGGGGAUAACAGUUGGAAACGGCUGCUAAUACCGCAUAAGCGCACGGCAUCGCAUGAUGCAGUGUGAAAAACUCCGGUGGUAUAAGAUGGACCCGCGUUGGAUUAGCUAGUUGGUGAGGUAACGGCCCACCAAGGCGACGAUCCAUAGCCGACCUGAGAGGGUGACCGGCCACAUUGGGACUGAGACACGGCCCAAACUCCUACGGGAGGCAGCAGUGGGGAAUAUUGCACAAUGGGGGAAACCCUGAUGCAGCGACGCCGCGUGAGCGAAGAAGUAUUUCGGUAUGUAAAGCUCUAUCAGCAGGGAAGAUAAUGACGGUACCUGACUAAGAAGCACCGGCUAAAUACGUGCCAGCAGCCGCGGUAAUACGUAUGGUGCAAGCGUUAUCCGGAUUUACUGGGUGUAAAGGGAGCGCAGGCGGUGCGGCAAGUCUGAUGUGAAAGCCCGGGGCUCAACCCCGGUACUGCAUUGGAAACUGUCGUACUAGAGUGUCGGAGGGGUAAGCGGAAUUCCUAGUGUAGCGGUGAAAUGCGUAGAUAUUAGGAGGAACACCAGUGGCGAAGGCGGCUUACUGGACGAUAACUGACGCUGAGGCUCGAAAGCGUGGGGAGCAAACAGGAUUAGAUACCCUGGUAGUCCACGCCGUAAACG
rnacentral:rRNA from 1 species